GUUAAAGGAGACACUCGCUAUAAGACUUGAGACACUUGGGGUACCCAGAUGGAUGGAGCUGUAGGGCAGGCAAUGCUAUACAUAGACACACUAUUUCUUCUCCUGCUUCCCUGCUUUUCAGCAUAAACCACAGAAAUUUAAGGCAGACAUCUUGUUUAUUUCCUGCCCCAUAAUUACAAGGAUCUCCACAACAGCUGGAUGGUCACCGUGAGCUCAACUUACUAUGUCUCCUCCAGCAGCCAAGUGGUGUUUCCUUUACCUUACAAAGUCUUCCCUUUCCUUGCCUGCUGCAUUGACCGCAACUGGAUGCUCAUUUCUGCUGUAGGACUGCACUCAUUACUUACAUGCCAAGUAUACAAAGAGUAGCCUUGGAGAAGCAAUUCUUUGGUCAUGUUUAAUGUUACCAGUGUUUUGUUUGAUCCUCCUUAUAAAUGUUUUUCUUCUGGCAAAGUA